rnacentral:rRNA from 1 species
CCUACGGGAGGCUGCAGUGAGGAAUAUUGGUCAAUGGACGCAAGUCUGAACCAGCCAUGCCGCGUGCAGGAAGACGGCUCUAUGAGUUGUAAACUGCUUUUGUACGAGGGUAAACGCAGAUACGCGUAUCUGUCUGAAAGUAUCUUACGAAUAAGGAUCGGCUAACUCCGUGCCAGCAGCCGCGGUAAUACGGAGGAUUCAAGCGUUAUCCGGAUUUAUUGGGUUUAAAGGGUGCGUAGGCGGUCGGAUAAGUUAGUUGUGAAAUCCCGAGGCUCAACUUCGGAAUUGCCUCUGAUACUGGUCGGCUAGAGAAUAGUUGCGGUAGGCGGAAUGUAUGGUGUAGCGGUGAAAUGCUUAGAGAUCAUACAGAACACCGAUUGCGAAGGCAGCUUACCAAGCUACUUCUGACGUUGAGGCACGAAAGCGUGGGUAGCAAACAGGAUUAGAUACCCUGGUAGUC